GACCUCCUUCUUGGACUUCAGAUCACUGGAGGCUUCAGUUUCCUCCUGCUCCUUCUGUUGCUGUUCUUCUGCUGCAGACAGCAUAAAGGUGCAGUUCAGCAGAGGAGGACAAGAAUUAUAAAGCAACAAGAAGAGGUCCCAAACCAUGAGGAAUCUCACAUGGAAAGUUCAUUACCAAUGACGGUAUCAACAAUUUAUGCAAGAAUUGGAGAAGACACUGGGCAGAGGCAGCGCAGAUCAGAGUCACAGACUGAAUACGCCUCUAUAAGCUUCUCUUAACAGCAGCUGUAACCCCAACAUGCAGAGCUGGUUUUAGGUAUGAUCAGCACAUGUAGUUAC